AAUGAACGCUGGCGGCGUGCUUUACACAUGCAAGUCGAGCGAGGCGGCCCGCAAGGGUCAGUCGAGCGGCGAACGGGUGAGUAACGCGUGGAUAACCUGCCCAGAGGUGGGGGAUAACCCGGGGAAACUCGGGCUAAUACCGCAUAUGACCGUGAGGUCAAAGGGGGCUCGCAAGAGCUCUCGCCAUUGGAGGGUCCGCGUACGAUUAGCUAGUUGGUAGGUAAUGGCCUACCAAGGCGACGAUCGUUAGCCGGCCUGAGAGGGUGAUCGGCCACACUGGAACUGAGACACGGUCCAGACUCCUACGGGAGGCAGCAGUGGGGAAUUUUGCGCAAUGGGCUAACGCCUGACGCAGCAACGCCGCGUGGAGGAUGAAGGUC
rnacentral:rRNA from 1 species